AUUCCAGCUCCAAUAGCGUAUAUUAAAGUUGUUGCAGUUAAAAAGCUCGUAGUUGAAGUUCUGGCUGAUCGAUCCUCGAGCUCUGUAGCCGAGGACUCGUCAGUCAUCCGCUUGCAAAUAUAUGUUCGCCUUUAACCGGGUGGCUAUAUGAGUAAGCAAUUUACCUUGAGAAAAACAGAGUGUUCCAGGCAGGUUUGUCCGGAAUGCAUUAGCAUGGAAUAAUAGAAUAUGACUGAAGUCGAUUUAUUGGUUUGAGGCUUUAGUAAUGAUUAAUAGGAACAGUCGGGGGCAUUGGUACUUGUCAGUCAGAGGUGAAAUUCUAGGAUUUGACAAAGACUAACAAAUGCGAAAGCAUUUGCCAAGGAUGUUUUCAUCG
rnacentral:rRNA from 1 species